rnacentral:rRNA from 1 species
GCAAAACGCGAAGAACCUUACCAGGUCUUGACAUCCCGCUGACCGCUCUAGAGAUAGAGUUUUCCCUUCGGGGACAGCGGUGACAGGUGGUGCAUGGUUGUCGUCAGCUCGUGUCGUGAGAUGUUGGGUUAAGUCCCGCAACGAGCGCAACCCUUGAUCUUAGUUGCCAGCAUUCAGUUGGGCACUCUAAGGAGACUGCCGGUGAUAAACCGGAGGAAGGUGGGGAUGACGUCAAAUCAUCAUGCCCCUUAUGACCUGGGCUACACACGUGCUACAAUGGACGGUACAAACGGUUGCCAACCCGCGAGGGGGAGCUAAUCCGAUAAAACCGUUACUCAGUUCGGAUUGUAGGCUGCAACUCGCCUACAUGAAGCCGGAAUCGCUAGUAAUCGCGGAUCAGCAUGCCGCGGUGAAUACGUUCCCGGGUCUUGUACACACCG